rfam:Schizophyllum commune H4-8 unplaced genomic scaffold SCHCOscaffold_15, whole genome shotgun sequence.
GCCGCCGUAGCCUAAUGGUCAUGGCGUCGCUUUCCUACGCGCGCUUCGUUUACGUUCUGGCCCUUAUGCUAGGAAUUUAGGCGGAGGUUGCGGGUUCGAGUCCCGCCGGUGGUU